rnacentral:rRNA from 1 species
UGGGGAAUAUUGGACAAUGGGGGGAACCCUGAUCCAGCCAUGCCGCGUGUGUGAAGAAGGCCUUUUGGUUGUAAAGCACUUUAAGCGAGGAGGAGGCUACUAGUAUUAAUACUACUGGAUAGUGGACGUUACUCGCAGAAUAAGCACCGGCUAACUCUGUGCCAGCAGCCGCGGUAAUACAGAGGGUGCGAGCGUUAAUCGGAUUUACUGGGCGUAAAGCGUGCGUAGGCGGCUGAUUAAGUCGGAUGUGAAAUCCCUGAGCUUAACUUAGGAAUUGCAUUCGAUACUGGUCAGCUAGAGUAUGGGAGAGGAUGGUAGAAUUCCAGGUGUAGCGGUGAAAUGCGUAGAGAUCUGGAGGAAUACCGAUGGCGAAGGCAGCCAUCUGGCCUAAUACUGACGCUGAGGUACGAAAGCAUGGGGAGCAAACA